rnacentral:rRNA from 1 species
AGUAAUACAUAAGUAACCUGCCCUAGACAGGGGGAUAACUAUUGGAAACGAUAGCUAAGACCGCAUAGGUACGGACACUGCAUGGUGACCGUAUUAAAAGUGCCUCAAAGCACUGGUAGAGGAUGGACUUAUGGCGCAUUAGCUGGUUGGCGGGGUAACGGCCCACCAAGGCGACGAUGCGUAGCCGACCUGAGAGGGUGAUCGGCCACAUUGGGACUGAGACACGGCCCAGACUCCUACGGGAGGCAGCAUG